UGAAAAAGAAAAAAAGCAGUCAUUACUGAAUCAUUGUAACAAGAAUGUAGUCAAGAAACAAUGUUUAUAUAAAACACUAAGAUGAUACCAACAUAAUUUGAGAUAGUCUAUAGCUUUCAACAACAACCUCAUGGGAGACGCAUGAUUUACACACACAGAAAGCAAAUAAAAACAACAGGAAAACCUCAGCUACAUGGGAUUCUUGGUGAACAAUAAAUCUAGGUAUAUAAAUAUUUUAAAUAGCUGAUCGAUGUAGUAAUCUUUGUGAUUUUUUUGACAAUGUAUAUUUUCAAAACUGCACUAUGUACUUUUGGCUUCUUAAGUUAUCACAGAGUGCUAACAACAUGGGACAUAGGAAUGCCUUAACUGGCAUUUAACAACUUUUCAGAGUUGAUGCCCUCCAGGUUACUGAACUACGCUGGGCAAUGCUUUCAGCAUAACAAAGUACUUCUCCUAAAGGACUGUGGUGCUGAAGUUCAUGUGGCUCAGAAUUAGUUAAAGGUUGACCUUUUGUGACUGCCCUGAUUACCUUUGGUAGCCAUGGAGUCUAUGACUCACUUUUCUGGGUUUCAAAUCCUGAGUAGCUGGGACUAUAGGCAUGUACCACCAUGCCUGGCUAAUUUUUUGCAUUUUUAGUAGAGAUGGAGUUUCACCAUGUUAGCCAGCGUGGUCUUGACCCCCUGAUGCCUGCCUCGGCCUUCCAAAGUGCUGGGAUCACUGGUGUGAGUCACCACACCCAGCCUCAUUUGCAGUAUUUACAGUCUAAAGAGCUACUACAAACUUUAACAAAAAACAGUCAUCCAUAUGAAUAUUUAUGUAAUGCUAAUAAGAAAGCAAAUUUCUUCUGUUUUUUGAUAAUGAGAAGGCAAAUAGGGUACCAUACGUCAGCAGGACACCCUGACUGAAGGUACCAGUAUCUUCCAAGACAAUGACCUCUGUUUUUAAAAAUUCCAUUAAUUUAUAUGACAACAGAAACACUGCUCUAGACAUUAUAUAGAGCAUAUUUCUCAUACAUAUCUCCACGUCUAGUUAGGAAAAGCUCAUGGGGUAAAGCUUAUGGGGUCUUUAAAAUUUUGGAUACUCAACUGUCAAAAAAUAUGGGCAUGAAGUUCAAAAUGGCACGGGAUCCUUGGUCAAUACACUAAUGCCUCCAACCACUAAGCAUGCCAAUCACGGGGUUUCUCAUGCUAACUGCCCCCACUUUCAUCCCCAGAUCAGGGAACAGCCCUAUGCAGUCAAGUUCUUUAUACUGUGAGACCCCACAUUCCUAGUCACAGCUGACUAAACCAGUGUGGGUACAUGAGGGCACUCUCCUGUUAGAGAUCUCUGAUGAAAAAAUGAACAGGGUUAAUCAGAUUCUCUCUCUAAGGUAUUUGAACUGGGAAACAAGAAAAUAAUCAGGCAAUUAGCAGUGGGAGUUGAAGCUAAAAGAAGCCAAAAUGAAUGCGAGAUAAGCAAGUUGAGAGGAUGAAAAGAGCAUUCCAACCACUGCUGGGUACACAGGAAAUUUAAAGUGAGUGAGGAGCAGCUGGUCGGGGGCGGUGGAAAAGCGAAUGAGGAAAGCACGACAGCGGUGGCGUCGCAGCCAUAGCUGGACGGCCAGCGGGAGAGCAAGGCUUGAGCCUCUACGUCUAGGAUCAAAAUGGUUUCAAUCCCAGAAUACUAUGAAGGCAAGAAUGUCCUCCUCACAGGAGCUACUGGUUUUCUAUAGAAGGUGCUUCUGGAAAAGUCGCUGAGAUCUUGUCCUAAGGUGAAUUCAGUGUAUGUUUUGGUGAGGCAGAAAGCUAGACAGACACCACAAAAGAGAGUAGAAGAAAUCCUUAGUGGUAAGCUCUUUGACAGAUUGAGUGAUGAAAAUCCAGAUUUGAGAGAGAAAAUUAUAGCAAUCAACAGUGAACUCACCCAACCUAAAAUAGCUCUCAAUGAAGAAGAUAAAGAGGUGAUCAUAGAUUCUACCAAUAUUAUAUUCUACUGUACAGCUACAGUAAAGUUUUAUGAAAACUUAAAGAGAUGCUGUUCAGUUAAAUGUGAUUGCAACGCGACAGCUUAUUCUCCUUGCACAACAAAUGAAGAAUCUGGAAGUGUUCAUGCAUGUAUCAACAGCAUAUGCCUACUGUAAUCGAAAGCAGAUUGAUGAAGUAGUCUACCCACCACCUGUGGAUCCCAAGAAGCUGACUGAUUCUUUAGAGUGGAUGGAUGAUGGCCUAGUAAAUGAUAUCAUGCCAAAAUUGAUAGGAGACAGACCUAAUGCCUACAUACUGUAUACACAAAAGCACUGGCAGAAUAUGCUGUACAACAAGGAGCAAAGCUAAAUAUGGCAAUUAUAAGGCCAUUGAUUGUUGGUGCCAGUUGGAAAGAACCUUUUCCAGGAUGGAUUGAUAACUUUAAUGGACCAAGUGUCCUCUUUAUUGCAGUGCUGUUUUUAACUUCAACAAAGGCACGGAAAGGAAUUCUUCGAACAAUGCGUGCCUCCAACAGUGCCCUUGCAGAUCUUGUUCCUGUAGACGUAGUUGUCAACAUGAGUCUUGCAGCAGCCUGGUAUUCGGAGUUAAUAGACCAAGAAACAUCAUGGUGUAUAAUCGUACAACAGGCAGCACUAAUUCUUUCCACUGGGGUGAAGUUGAAUACCAUGUAAUUUCCACUUUCAAGAGGAAUCCUCUCGAACAGGCCUUCAGAUGGCCCAACGUAAAUCUAACCUCCAAUUACCUUUUAUAUCAUUACUGGAUUGCUGUAAGCCAUGAGGCCUCAGCAUUCCUGUAUAAUAUCUACCUCAGGAUGACUGGAAGAAGCCCAAGGAUGACGAAAGCAAUUACGUGUCUUCACAAAGCUAUGAUGUUUCUUGAAUAUUUCACAAGUAAUUCUUGGGUUUGGAAUAUUGACAAUGUCAAUAUAUUAAUUAAUCAAUUAAACCCUGAAGAUAAAAAGACCUUCAAUAUUGACGUACGACAGUUACAUUGGGCAGAAUAUAUAGAGAACUACUGCAUGGGAACUAAGAAGUACGUGUUGAAUGAAGAAAUGUCUGGCCUCCCUGCAGCCAGAAAACAUCUGAACAAGUUACGGAAUAUAUGUUAGGGUUUAAAUAUUAUCCUUGUGAUCCUCAUGUGGUGCAUUUUUAUUGUAAGAUCACAAGUUGCAAGAAACAUCUGGUACUAUGUGGUUCGUCUGCGUUACAAGUUUCUGUCAUACUUCAGAGCAUCCAGCACUAUGAGAUACCGAAGACCAAGAAUUCAGCAUCAGAACAUCUAUGCAUAUGGUGGUCUAAAUGCCCAAAAUGUAAAAUGUACUUAAAUCAUCUCACCUUUUGUCAAGAUAUUAAACCAUCUUAGAUUGGCAUGUGAAGUAAAUUAUGGUACAUUUUAUGUAACAUUUUAAUGUUUAUAUUCAUAAAACCUAGUGAACACACUGUUAUGCCAGCUCAAAUCUACAAUAGCCACCAAAACCAUGACUUAAUACUUUGAGCCCUAGAAGAAAGGGUGGGAUGAGGGCAGAAGUGAGGAAAUAGGAAUACUGACCAAUAUAAUUGUGCAAUUAUGGAACAUAUUAAUUAAAAUAUGCCUUAAUAUAUAGUGAAUUUCUAAUUCUAAUGUGCAGGGCAAUGGAAGACAUUUAUUUGGACAGUAAUACUAGCUAAGUUGGAAGAUAUUUGAUUCUUCAGUGUGAUUUUUUUCAUUAGUUGAAGUAGGUUUUAGUUUUUUAAAAUUAUAACCAACCUAUUUUCACACCAUCUUGUAAGUUAAAUGAUAUCAAACUUGAAAGGCAUGUUCUCAUUUUUCUUUUUCUGAUGAAAUGUCUGAUAGUAUCAUUUUUUACAAGCAAUCAGUUGCUUUUAAAAUCAGAAGGCUGUAUUAUUCUAAUGACCCUACUGGAUCUAAAUGGGUUUGAGAAUCAAUAUCAACAUAUGCUAUGUGUUUUUUGACAGAAAGUGAAAACAAAUUCACUAAAACUGUUAGUAUCAAAAAUAAUAGGAAUACAGUUUUCUUGUUGACAUUAUGAUCAAAUAAAAAUCCUGUGAGAUUGUCUUUAUGUUUUGAA